rnacentral:misc_RNA from 1 species
GAUGAAGAACGUAGCGAAAUGCGAUACGUAGUGUGAAUUGCAGAAUUCAGUGAAUCAUCGAAUCUUUGAACGCACAUUGCACCUCUCGGUAUUCCGGGAGGUAUGCCUGUUCGAGCGUCAUUUGUACCCUCAAGCUCUGCUUGGUGUUGGGUGUUUGUUCCGCCUCUGUGUGUGAACUCGCCUCAAAACAAUUGGCAGCCAGCGUACUUGUUUCGGAGCGCAGCACAUUUUGCGAUCCAGAUCAACGUACAGCGGCAUCCAAGAAGCCUUAUUUAACGCUCUUGACCUCGGAUCAGGUAGUGAUACCCGCUGAACUUAAGCAUAUCAAUAAGCGGAGGA